UACAGAGGGUGCAAGCGUUGUUCGGAAUUAUUGGGCGUAAAGGGCGCGUAGGCGGUGCGGUAAGUCUGUAGUGAAAUCUCUGGGCUCAACUCAGAGUCUGCUGCAGAAACUGCCGUGCUUGAGUGUGGGAGAGGUGAGUGGAAUUCCCGGUGUAGCGGUGAAAUGCGUAGAUAUCUGGAGGAACACCUGUGGCGAAGGCGGCUAUCUGGUCCAAUUCUGACGCUGAGGCGGCGAAAGCUAGGGGAGCAAACAGG
rnacentral:rRNA from 1 species